GUCAAACAUGUAUGCCGCAGCAAGGAGCUGGGAAAAUGUAGCUUCUGUUAGGAAAACUAUGAAAGAGAAAGGAGUAAAGAAAGAACCAGGAUUAAGUUGGAUUGAAAACCAAGGCAGUGUUCACUAUUUCUCUGUGGGGGAUAUUUCACAUCCCGACAUGAAGUUGAUUAAUGGGAUGCUCGAGUGGUUGAACAUGAAAACCAGGAAGGCAGGUUAUGUUCCCAAUCUUAAUGCUGUUUUGCUUGAUGUUGAAGAUGAUGAAAAGGAGCACCGUUUGUGGGGACACAGUGAAAGACUAGCUUUAGCUUUUGGUCUAAUUAGAACACCAUCUACAGGCCACAUUCGCAUCAUUAAAAACCUCCGAAUAUGUGCAGACUGCCAUUCA
rnacentral:misc_RNA from 1 species